UCGCCGGCUUCCUCUCCGAUCCGAAACGCCCGGUCGAAUCCACGCUGCGCGCCAUGAUGAAGACCGCGCAUCUCGGCAAGGCGGGACCGCAUCCCGUCGUCGCCAGCGCUGCGCGCGAGUUGCUCAACAAAUCCGACAACGAGCGCUCCGGCGUGCUGUCCACCGCCAUGUCGUUUCUCGGCCUCUACCGCGAUCCUGUCAUCGCGGAGGUCACGCGCCGCUGCGACUGGAGAAUCCGCGACA
rnacentral:misc_RNA from 1 species